ensembl:piRNA 21ur-4347 ncRNA
UGAUAUUUCAUCUAAUCGUAG